ACUUGACGCAUGUCCUUUGUGUGUGUGCUAACUUUGUCUCAUGCCUCACAGAUAGACUACUACUGUAUUUUUACCAUUUUUCUUUCACCUCAUAUUUGGUGUCAAAUGCUGAUAUUAUGUGGGAAUGCAUAAAGAAGGACAUGUCCAGCAGAAGGCACAGAGGAAGGAAGGAAGAGGAGGAGGGACAGUCUGCAGCCGCCGCCUGCUCACGUUAGGCCAGCAUGAAGAUCAUGGAAAACUUUAAAAAGGGUGACUUCAUGGAUGACUGGAACAGCAGCAGGACGCCCUUUCAAGUUUUGUGGCCAUUUUGGUCACAUUUGACGUCAGGACCAAGCAAAAACACUAACCUGACUCGACAUCCAGGGAGUACUUAUCGAUAGCCAGGUUCAUGGUCUGGUAGGCCGUGUUGCAGAAGUCUUCCAGUAUCAGGUACACGGUGGAGGUGACGCCCUGAGCCACGGGCUUGCCAAAUUUCAUCCGGCUGUUGACCACGAUGCUCCCGUUGCGGAAGUUGAGGAUCUCUAGAUUCUCAAAGUUACUGAGGUUGGACUGGAGGUAGGGCACAAGCUGGGGAAAAGGAUGGGAAGAGUUGUUGCGAGCGAGAAUAUAUACGUCAAUGAAUAAUAACUUACCAAUUCUAGGAAGCGCUGCUCCAACGCUUUGUACUCUGCCGAGCUCUUGUUAAAGAGAUCCUCUGAGAAGAUCAUGUUGGUCACCCUCAGGCUGAAAAACACCAUCAGCGCUCGGCCAGGGUUUGCCGGCAUGGCGAUGCUGGCCGGGUCUGUGCCAUGUGACACACUGAAUGGGAACCCGGUGCUGCCCUCCUCUGUGUGGUUGAUCAAGCCAUAUUGGAUCACGUCGUAUCCCACGUUGUCGAUGGGAGGGGAGUCGUCUUCAUUGGUGGUCUGGACAUAGUGGAAAAUGGCAGUACGUUGUCUUCAUUCUUACUUCCCAUGCUACAUUGGGACUUACCUCCACGAGUGAAGGGAUGACAAGACACGGAAGUUGUUUCCGGUCUGUCCCUGUUGACCAGCAAGAUAUAGUCAUCUGCAAGAUCAUCUGUUGCAAUCUCCGAAGCUUCCGGAGGUUUUUCCACCGAAGCUGGCGCUUCUUCUGGAGCAGUUGCUUCCACUUCUUCAGGAUGCUUGGAUUCACCUUCUUCAACGGCCUCACCCGCUACAUCUGCAGCACUAGGAACAAAGCCCUCUUCUGCAGAUUCACUUGUCAGGAGCUCCUCAGUGACAACGCCGCUGUCCAGGUGCUCCUCUUCCAGAAUGACCACAUCCUCGGCGCCUGCCGCUGCCGGAGUCGUGUUAUCAGGCCACCAUAGCAAGUUGUCCAGGUCACCCGUACCCGAGGCCUCCACCGCCACUGGGGGUUCAGGCAAGGUGGUGCCUUCUUCUUGACUCUCCGGAGGGGAGACAUCCUCCUGCUGCUGCUGGUGGUCAUCUUCUUCUGGAGGGUUAUCUGCUACUGUGGUCCGCACUGUGUUCUCCAGCAGCAGACCCUCCUCCUUAAUGCCUACGAUAAACAAGUCCAGUGAGACUUGGCCUGAAAAGAUGGCUACCUCAAUCGGAACGUUUUCUACACUCUUUCAUGAUGAAAUUGCCCAUUUGCUGAAGUCCUUCAACAUUUACUGGAUCAAGUGCAUAAACACUCACUGCCUGUGUCAGGUGCCGACGUGGUGGCGACGGGAGGUGGAGCUAUAUCAACACUCUCCUCUAGAACCACGACAUCGCUUUCAGCCGUCACGACCUUGUCGCUUUCAGCCGCCUCGGGCAGGAAUUCGUCUCUCCUCACGUCUUCCAUGACGUCCUCCGGGAUUGAGGGCUCCGGCUCUGGUUCAUUCUCAGCAUGGACCUGCAUCACAAACACAACGUCUAAAUGUAGCGGGGUCAUCAAAAUGCCCUACCAGCUGUUUCAUAUCACGUUGCGUCAGGUUAAAUUAGGAAAUUUCUUUGAAAUGUUCAAUUAAGAGCAAUUCGUGUAGCUUAAACAUUGCUGCUGAACACAUGUAUGCUCCUGUAAUCAAAUCCAGGGCACGCCAGCACAACACAUCAUGACAUAAUGGCUUCAACAUGCUCUUUAUUUAAAGACUUAGCCAUUAACUGGGAUUAAUAACAGCGGCUUUGAUUAGGAUCAUUUAUUGAUGGCAAUGUAUUAAUUGGUUGUAAAUGUUAACACUGACACACUUCUGGCGGUGUACUUCUGAGUGUAAGACAUUGCUGCCAAAGUUCUCCGUGUGUCCAAUAAAUCCCUGAUGAGCCCCUCAACCUCGUUUUAAAAAUGUAUAAAGAUAGUUUUCAAUAAUUAUUUCGACCGGAGAAUAUAAAUUUGUAUUAAAAAAAGUGUUUUUCUGCUAUUACAUCAUGCAUGUAACAGCUGCUAACCUCAUUUCGUUGCAAAUGCAAUGACGACAGAAGGUUUUUAAUUGUAUAAUAUUAAAAGUAAAACACCUUAUAAAGCAAUGGUUCGCAAACUUGUACUCGCAGGUCAUUUCGCUUGUAGUCUAUAAGGACAUUGUAAUGUCACUUCAAUUUCAGCUAAUCUUUGGUUAAAUACCUUUGUAUUUAUACUGUAUGUCUCUAAUUUGAUUUCAUUUUUUUAAAAGCUCUGCUAUCCCGGACCACCAGUAGGUGGCGCCCAUGUGCCACCGGGGUACUCGUAGCACAGUUUGAGAAUUUAGGCUAAACAGGCGUCAAUAAACUGGAAUAUUGUGCAAAAUGUAUUUGA